rnacentral:tRNA from 1 species
GGCCCCAUGGUGUAAUGGUUAGCACUUUGGACUCUGAAUCCAGUGAUCCGAGUUCAAAUCUCGGUGGGACCU